rnacentral:lncRNA from 1 species
GACAAUAUUGUUCCGGAAUUUUUAGCUGGCACUCAGAUUUCUGUCUGCCUCUCAUUGGCAAACAUGACAUUUCAGCAAUUUCUCUAAAGAGGAAUGACUGGGGGGUAUGUACAGCAGGCAUCAUGUAAGAAAAACUCACACCUCACGACAUAUUUGUUUGAUUUAUUCAGCAGACUUCAGCAAAGGAAAGAUGUGAAAGCAACCCUUGAUUGUUGAUUUUUUGUUCAUUCUGAAAAUCACAUCGCCAGAUCCAACACCUUUUUAUCCCAAUCACCAGUACAAGCCACCCGUAUCAGUGUACACUGUGGCUGACCGAUCCAUAGUGAUGCUUUGAGCACAAGGAAGGACUUUCUGGAAUCUACUUAUCUGACCAAGAAAGCUUCUUUCCAAAAGAAAUGCAAUUGUCUUGAGACUUCUUCCCUAGGGAUCUGAUCAACUAACCAGAAAAGAGCAACCACCAGAGAAGAGACUGUGGGUGUCAUUGUGACUGGCUGCUACCUCCCCAUGAGUCUUCUAAAAUAAAACCUGCAAAUUCACAUCUUCCCCAUGCUUCCAGAGAA